rnacentral:rRNA from 1 species
GAUGAACGCUGGCGGCGUGCCUAAUACAUGCAAGUCGAGCGAACAGACGAGGAGCUUGCUCCUCUGACGUUAGCGGCGGACGGGUGAGUAACACGUGGAUAACCUACCUAUAAGACUGGGAUAACUUCGGGAAACCGGAGCUAAUACCGGAUAAUAUAUUGAACCGCAUGGUUCAAUAGUGAAAGACGGUUUUGCUGUCACUUAUAGAUGGAUCCGCGCCGCAUUAGCUAGUUGGUAAGGUAACGGCUUACCAAGGCGACGAUGCGUAGCCGACCUGAGAGGGGGAUCGGCCACACUGGAACUGAGACACGGUCCAUACUCCUACGGGAGGCAGCAGUAGGGAAUCUUCCGCAAUAGGCGAAAGCCUGACGGAGCGACGCCGCGUGAGUGAUGAAGGUCUUCGGAUCGUAAAACUCUGUUAUUAGGGAAGAACAAAUGUGUAAGUAACUAUGCACGUCUUGACGGUACCUAAUCAGAAAGCCACGGCUAACUACGUG